UUAAGCGACUAAGCGUACACGGUGGAUGCCCUGGCAGUCAGAGGCGAUGAAGGACGUGCUAAUCUGCGAUAAGCGUCGGUAAGGUGAUAUGAACCGUUAUAACCGGCGAUUUCCGAAUGGGGAAACCCAGUGUGUUUCGACACACUAUCAUUAACUGAAUCCAUAGGUUAAUGAGGCGAACCGGGGGAACUGAAACAUCUAAGUACCCCGAGGAAAAGAAAUCAACCGAGAUUCCCCCAGUAGCGGCGAGCGAACGGGGAGGAGCCCAGAGCCUGA
rnacentral:rRNA from 1 species